GCCGUCAUACAGCAGCUGGCUGAUGAUCAGCUUGUAAAGGUGCUGUCUGUCCUUCAGUGUGGGCUUGGGCCGGAACAUCUUUGCUGCUUGAUGACUGCAAGCGAACGAAGCAAGACAGAAACGCUCAGAUUGCAGGGUAAAAACAGCAAAUAAUCUGUUCAAGAUUAGGAUGCAGAGAUUAACUGGCGUAUCAGCAAAAUCCUGUAAAUUUCCCUUCAAAAACAAACAGCACACCAUCAUGUGUUUGCCACGUUACUUGGAAAGUUCGUCGAGCAAAAGCCGAAGCAGAAGAACCAGUGGCGGGUGUUUCUCAAAACAGCCUGAAACUUCAGCAACAUUAGCCGAUCCGGGACCAGUCUCCACCUCGAGCCAAAAAUGUAUG